rnacentral:rRNA from 1 species
GAAGCCUUCGGGCUUAGUGGCGCACGGGUGCGUAACGCGUGGGAAUCUGCCCUUGGGUUCGGAAUAACAGUGAGAAAUUACUGCUAAUACCGGAUGAUGUCUUCGGACCAAAGAUUUAUCGCCCAGGGAUGAGCCCGCGUUAGAUUAGCUAGUUGGUGGGGUAAUGGCCUACCAAGGCGACGAUCUAUAGCUGGUCUGAGAGGAUGAUCAGCCACACUGGGACUGAGACACGGCCCAGACUCCUACGGGAGGCAGCAGUGGGGAAUAUUGGACAAUGGGCGAAAGCCUGAUCCAGCAAUGCCGCGUGAGUGAUGAAGGCCUUAGGGUUGUAAAGCUCUUUUACCAGGGAUGAUAAUGACAGUACCUGGAGAAUAAGCUCCGGCUAACUCCGUGCCAGCAGCCGCGGUAAUACGGAGGGAGCUAGCGUUGUUCGGAAUUACUGGGCGUAAAGCGCGCGUAGGCGGUGACUCAAGUCAGAGGUGAAAGCCCGGGGCUCAACCCCGGAACUGCCUUUGAAACUAGGUCGCUAGAAUCUUGGAGAGGCGAGUGGAAUUCCGAGUGUAGAGGUGAAAUUCGUAGAUAUUCGGAAGAACACCAGUGGCGAAGGCGACUCGCUGGACAAGUAUUGACGCUGAGGUGCGAAAGUGUGGGGAGCAAACAGGAUUAGAUACCCUGGUAGUCCACACCGUAAACGAUGAUAACUAGCUGUCCGGGCUCUUGGAGUUUUGGGUGGCGCAGCUAACGCAUUAAGUUAUCCGCCUGGGGAGUACGGUCGCAAGAUUAAAACUCAAAGGAAUUGA